UUGAUCCUGGCUCAGGACGAACGCUGGCGGCGUGCCUAAUACAUGCAAGUCGAGCGAACCACUUCGGUGGUUAGCGGCGGACGGGUGAGUAACACGUGGGCAACCUGCCUGUAAGACUGGGAUAACUUCGGGAAACCGGAGCUAAUACCGGAUAAUCCUUUUCCUCUCAUGAGGRAAAGCUGAAAGWCGGUUUCGGCUGUCACUUACAGAUGGGCCCGCGGCGCAUUAGCUAGUUGGUGAGGUAACGGCUCACCAAGGCGACGAUGCGUAGCCGACCUGAGAGGGUGAUCGGCCACACUGGGACUGAGACACGGCCCAGACUCCUACGGGAGGCAGCAGUAGGGAAUCUUCCACAAUGGACGAAAGUCUGAUGGAGCAACGCCGCGUGAGCGAUGAAGGCCUUCGGGUCGUAAAG
rnacentral:rRNA from 1 species